UGAUCCGGGGUGAGGACAGUGUCUGGUGGGUAGUUUGACUGGGGCGGUCUCCUCCCAAAGAGUAACGGAGGAGCACGAAGGUUAGCUAAUCACGGUCGGACAUCGUGAGGUUAGUGCAAAGGCAUAAGCUAGCUUGACUGCGAGAGUGACGGCUCGAGCAGGUACGAAAGUAGGUCUUAGUGAUCCGGUGGUUCUGAAUGGAAGGGCCAUCGCUCAACGGAUAAAAGGUACUCCGGGGAUAACAGGCUGAUACCGCCCAAGAGUUCAUAUCGACGGCGGUGUUUGGCACCUCGAUGUCGGCUCAUCACAUCCUGGGGCUGAAGUAGGUCCCAAGGGUAUGGCUGUUCGCCAUUUAAAGUGGUACGCGAGCUGGGUUUAGAACGUCGUGAGACAGUUCGGUCCCUAUCUGCCGUGGGCGUUGGAAGAUUGAGAGGGGCUGCUCCUAGUACGAGAGGACCGGAGUGGACGAAUCACUGGUGUUCGGGUUGUCAUGCCAAUGGCAUUGCCCGGUAGCUAAAUUCGGAAGAGAUAACCGCUGAAAGCAUCUAAGCGGGAAACUUGCCUCGAGAUGAGUCUUCCCUGGGGCUUUAAGCCCCCUGAAGGAACGUUAAAGACUAUGACGUUGAUAGGCUGGGUGUGUAAGUGCAGCGAUGCAUUGAGCUAACCAGUACUAAUGAUCCGU
rnacentral:rRNA from 1 species